rnacentral:tRNA from 1 species
UGGGAGGUGGUGUAAUUGGCAGCACUACGGGUUUUGAUCCCGUCAGUACGGGUUCGAGUCCUGUCCUCCCAGCCA